rnacentral:sRNA from 1 species
AAGCCUAACAACGGAAUAGAACCGUUGUAUCACGCGGUCAAAGUCUUGGGAGGAUGGAUCCAGGCGCGAAAUUCCGCCGCCGCCAGUAAAAUGGAAACGGGUCGAACGCGUAUUCGACUAGCAAGGCGUGAGCCUUGCUUUUUUU